rnacentral:rRNA from 1 species
AGCGAACGCUGGCGGCAGGCCUAACACAUGCAAGUCGAGCGCCCCGCAAGGGGAGCGGCAGACGGGAGAGUAACACGUGGGAACGUGCCCUUCAGUUCGGAACAACCCAGGGAAACUUGGGCUAAUACCGGAUACGUCCGUAAGGAGAAAGAUUUAUCGCUGAAGGAUCGGCCCGCGUCUGAUUAGCUAGUUGGUGGGGUAAUGGCUCACCAAGGCGACGAUCAGUAGCUGGUCUGAGAGGAUGAUCAGCCUCACUGGGACUGAGACACGGCCCAGACUCCUACGGGAGGCAGCAGUGGGGAAUAUUGGACAAUGGGCGCAAGCCUGAUCCAGCCAUGCCGCGUGGAUGAUGAAGGCCCUAGGGUUGUAAAGUCCUUUCGGCGGGGAAGAUAAUGACGGUACCCGCAGAAGAAGCCCCGGCUAACUUCGUGCCAGCCGCCGCAGUAAUAC